GAUGAACGCUGGCUACAGGCUUAACACAUGCCAGUCGAGGGGAAACGACGGGGAAGCUUGCUUCCCCGGGCGUCGACCGGCGCACGGGUGAGUAACGCGUAACCAACCUGCCUCUGACUGAGGGAUAACCCGUCGCAAGUCGGCCUACUGCCUAAUGGCAUCGUCUGCGGGCAUCCAACGGCGAGUCAAGUUUUCAUUGGUUAGUGCUGGGGCUGCUUCUGCUUGGCUAGGUGGCGGGGUAACGGCCCACCAAAGCGACGGUCAGUAAGGGUUCUGGUGGGAAGGCCCCCCACAUUGGAACUGAGACACGGGCCAAUCUCCUACGGGAGGCAGCAGUGAGGAAUAUUGGGCAAUGGGCGAGAGCCUGAACCAGCCAAGUAGCGUGCAGGAUGACGGCCCUAUGGGUUGUAAACUGCUUUUAUGCGGGGAUAAAGUGAGGGACGUGUCCUUCAUUGCAGGUACCGCAUGAAUAAGGACCGGCUAAUUCCGUG
rnacentral:rRNA from 1 species